UACGUAGGGGGCAAGCGUUGUCCGGAAUUACUGGGCGUAAAGCGCGUGUAGGCGGCACGGCAAGUCGGAUGUGAAAGCCCGCGGCUCAACCGUGGAAGUGCACUCGAAACUGCCGAGCUAGAGUCUCGGAGAGGAAGGUGGAAUGCUUGGUGUAGAGGUGAAAUUCGUAGAUAUCAAGCAGAACACCUGUGGCGAAGGCGGCCUUCUGGACGAUGACUGACGCUGAGACGCGAAAGCGUGGGGAGCAAACAGG
rnacentral:rRNA from 1 species